UAUUUACUAAGAGCUCAUCAAAAACUCUUUCUGUAGAGCAAAUUCAGCCCCUUCAGAGCUAAAAGGACGAGAAUUUGGGUGCUUCCCCGAGGAAAGGCAGUUCCCAGGCAGCUUUCUGCUGGAUACCUGCUUUGCAGACUGAAGGUUUUCCAAGUUGCACUGAAGCCACACAGGAUUUGAUUACGUGCUUCAAGAUAACAGCAAUAACAACCAGAUCACGGGAGCAGAAUCAAUGACCCAGCAGUGGUAAUCCGUGUUUACCACCUCACCUGCCUCCUGCCAGCUCUCUGUGCUUUCGUCAUCGUCAUCUGUUUGUCAUCAAACAGAAUGUUUUGGGUUGGAGGGGACCUUAAAGCUCAUCCAGUCCCACCCCUUCCAUGGGCAGGGACACCUUCCACUAGCCCAGGUUGCUCCAACCUGGCUUUGGACACUUCCAGGGGUGGGACAGCCACAGCUUCUCUGGGCAACCCGUGCCAGUGCCCCCCCAACCUCCCAGGGAAUAAUUUCUUCUAAAUGUCCAAUCCAACCCUGUCCUCUCUCAGUUUGAAGCCAUUCCCCCUUGUCCUGUCACUACGUGCCCUUGUCAAGAGACCCUUUCAGUUUUUACAUUUGCUGAUCAACUUCAAACCAGCAUUAAAGGCGACACAGAAUACUGCUA